GAGUUCAAGCUCAAAGCCAGCCUGAAGCCGAGUGGCACAUCUUUAAUCCCAGCACUUGGGAGGCAGAGGCAGUUGGGUUUCUGAGUCUGAGGCCAGCCUGGUCCUCAGAGUGAGUUCUAGGACAGCCAGGGUUACAAGAGUGGAACCCAGUCUCAAACAAAACAAAAAAAAAGCCAUCUUGAGCUACAUGGGAGAGAGUGGAUCAAGGCUUUUGACAUCUUGGCUCUGAGCCCACUGGGUAGGUCUCAGGCAAGUGGCUUCCCCUUUCUGGACCCCAGCCCCAGAAAACAUUUACUGAAGGAGCCUGGCCUUCAGUGUGGGAAUCUGGGAAGUGUCCCACAGGGCUCAGGCCUGAGGAGAGAGAUCAGGAAAACUUUCCUGGAAGAGAGAACAGCGAGUACAGGCCCCUUGGAUAGGGAGAGACCAGAGGGAGGGAGGGGCCCAAGCUCAAGGCAAAGGGUUGAGGAGGGGCUGGCACACUACAUCCUGUUGUGUAGGACCCAGGCCUCAGCAGGGUUUAGGCAGCAAGCUUUCUACUCUUUUGUGCCUUAGGAAGACAUCUCUCUAUCCCACUGUGAUGGUCUGAGGGGCAGAGAUGAGGCCUGCAGCCUAGAAGAAGUGGCUGUGCCUAGUCAUCCAGGUGGGAGGCGGUGUGACCUACAGAGUUCACCAAGGUUUAGGGAUUUAGCAAAUUAAUUCAGACC
rnacentral:lncRNA from 1 species